AUGUGAAUUACCUGGGGGUCUUAUUAAAAUGAAGAUUUUGAUUCAGUGGGUCUGCAGUAGGGCUUGAGAGUCUACAGUCCUGACAAGCCCCCAGGUGAUGCUGAU
rnacentral:pre_miRNA from 1 species